AUUGAACGCUGGCGGCGUGCUUAACACAUGCAGGUCGAUCGGUAACGCGGGGGCAACCCUGGCGACGAGAGGCGGACGGGUGAGGAACGCUUGGGAAUCUGCCCUUCAGCGGGGGACAACACGGGGAAACUCGUGCUAAUACCGCAUACGCUCCACGGAGGAAAGCCGGGGACCGCAAGGCCUGGAACUGAAGGAUGAGCCCAAGUCGGAUUAGCUAGUUGGCGGGGUAACGGCGCACCCAGGCGACGAUCCGUAGCUGGUCUGAGAGGACGAUCAGCCACACUGGGACUGAGACACGGCCCAGACACCUACGGGUGGCAGCAGUCGAGAAUAAUUCACAAUGGGGGCAACCCUGAUGGUGCAACGCCGCGUGGAGGAUGACGGUCUUCGGAUUGUAAACUCCUGUCAUCUGGGAGAAAGACCUGACGGUAAAUAGCCGGCAGGGUUGAUAGUACCAGAAGAGGAAGGGACGGCUAACUUCGUGCCAGCAGCCGCGGUAACAC
rnacentral:rRNA from 1 species